UUUUUUAUUUCUGCUUGUAGCUCAAACUCCCCAGCAGCAUUUAAUAUCUUUUCAUAUGUGUACAUUUAAUUUUGGUCAUCUGUCUGAAGUCUGCCCAUCUAGUGCCUGACACAAGGUUCACUCUUUUAAGGCUUCUGAACUUUCACUGGAUUUUGAGAUAUCUGGCGAUUUCAGAUAAGGGCCUCAACUGUUUUCCAGGCAUUUGGUUGUAAACGUACAAUCAGUGGAAUUGAAAAUACCUAAUCAACAACUGGAACUGCAGAAAGUAAGUGUUAAUUU
rnacentral:lncRNA from 1 species